GACGAACGCUGGCGGCGUGCCUAAUACAUGCAAGUAGAACGCUGAAGCUUGGUGCUUGCACCGAGCGGAUGAGUUGCGAACGGGUGAGUAACGCGUAGGUAACCUGCCUGGUAGCGGGGGAUAACUAUUGGAAACGAUAGCUAAUACCGCAUAACAGUAGAUGUUGCAUGACAUUUGCUUAAAAGGUGCAAUUGCAUCACUACCAGAUGGACCUGCGUUGUAUUAGCUAGUUGGUGGGGUAACGGCUCACCAAGGCGACGAUACAUAGCCGACCUGAGAGGGUGAUCGGCCACACUGGGACUGAGACACGGCCCAGACUCCUACGGGAGGCAGCAGUAGGGAAUCUUCGGCAAUGGACGGAAGUCUGACCGAGCAACGCCGCGUGAGUGAAGAAGGUUUUCGGAUCGUAAAGCUCUGUUGUAAGAGAAGAACGAGUGUGAGAGUGGAAAGUUCACACUGUGACGGUAUCUUACCAGAAAGGGACGGCUAACUACGUGCCAGCAGCCGCGGUAAUACGUAGGUCCCGAGCGUUGUCCGGAUUUAUUGGGCGUAAAGCGAGCGCAGGCGGUUAGAUAAGUCUGAAGUUAAAGGCUGUGGCCUAACCAUAGUACGCUUUGGAAACUGUUUAACUUGAGUGCAAGAGGGGAGAGUGGAAUUCCAUGUGUAGCGGUGAAAUGCGUAGAUAUAUGGAGGAACACCGGUGGCGAAAGCGGCUCUCUGGCUUGUAACUGACGCUGAGGCUCGAAAGCGUGGGGAGCAAACAGG
rnacentral:rRNA from 1 species